rnacentral:rRNA from 1 species
GACGAACGCUGGCGGCGUGCUUAACACAUGCAAGUCGAACGGUGAAGGGGUCUGCUUUUGUGGGCCCUGGAUGAGUGGCGCACGGGUGAGUAACACGUGAGUAACCUGCCCCCUUCUUCUGGAUAACCGCAUGAAAGUGUGGCUAAUACGGGAUAUUCUGGGUCUGUCGCAUGAUGGGUCUGGGAAAGAUUGCGCCUUUGGGUGUUUUUGGUGGGGGAUGGGCUCGCGGCCUAUCAGCUUGUUGGUGGGGUGAUGGCCUACCAAGGCGGUGACGGGUAGCCGGGCUGAGAGGGUGGACGGUCACACUGGGACUGAGACACGGCCCAGACUCCUACGGGAGGCAGCAGUGGGGAAUAUUGCACAAUGGGCGCAAGCCUGAUGCAGCGACGCCGCGUGAGGGAGGGAGGCCUUCGGGUUGUAAACCUCUUUCGCCAGUGAAGCAGGCCUGCUCCUUGUGGGUGGGUUGACGGUAGCUGGAGAAGAAGCGCCGGCUAACUACGUG